UUCUCUGAUGCAAUUCCGAGUGGAAGAACUUCUGACUUCCCCCAAAGAGCUUAAUAGCUCUGAGUGAAGCUCCUGAGUUUCCAUUAGCCCCUUUUCUAAUUGAAGGAAGAAAGCUAUUGAGCCAAUCAUUCAAUAAAGAAAAUAAGUAAAGAAAAAGAAAGGUGAACAAGAAGGGAAUAAGCUCUCAAGCCUCGGAGGAGAGCAAUCUCUUGUGGAAAAAAGGUGGGGGUCCCAAGUCCUGCAUCCACCAAGAACAUUUCUUCCCUUAAGCGUAAAACUUCAGAUUGUAAGGCGUUUCCACUACAUAAGAAAAAACUGGAAUUAGAUCUUGGAAAUGAUCGG
rnacentral:lncRNA from 1 species